rnacentral:sRNA from 1 species
AAUAAAAACAAGAAGAUGGAAUAUGUAGAAUUAAUUUUUUUGAGGCUCUUAUCCAUUAAGAU